AUUAAAUUUUAUGUUAUCUAUUCUACUUCAUGGAGAUCCAGCGUUCUCUGGGCAGGGUGUACUUUUCAAAAUGUUUCAGUUGUCAGAUUUACCAGAUUACACAACCCACGGCACUGUAGUCAAUAACCAAGUUGGGUUCACAACAAAUCCAAGGUUUUCAAGAUCGUCAGCAUAUUGCACAGAUGUUACCAGUGUGGGUUAAUGGAUCCAUGUUUUUGGCAGUUUGGUAUGCCACUUUCUGGGCACAUAGGAUGUUUGAAUUUAAAGGCUGGUUUUCAUUUUCUGGCAUUCCUGUGACAAAGAUGGAUAAGUCCUAUAACCAUGAUUUGCAAAAGCAUCUGGCUCUGUGCUGUACGCAAUUUAUUAUCUUUUUAGAACAGCUUUAUGCCAGUAAUGUGCGUCCCCAAAGUUUAA